rnacentral:rRNA from 1 species
GAGUUUGAUCGUGGCUCAGAUUGAACGCUGGCGGCAUGCCUUACACAUGCAAGUCGAACGGCAGCAUGAUCUAGCUUGCUAGAUUGAUGGCGAGUGGCGAACGGGUGAGUAAUACAUCGGAACGUGCCCUGUAGUGGGGAGUAACUAGUCGAAAGAAUUAGCUAAUACCGCAUACGACCUGAGGGUGGAAAGUAGGGGGACCGGCGAAGGCCUCAUGCUAUAGGAGCGGCCGAUGUCUGAUUAGCUAGUUGGU